rnacentral:rRNA from 1 species
UACAGAGGGUGCAAGCGUUAAUCGGAAUUACUGGGCGUAAAGCGCACGUAGGUGGCUUGAUAAGUUGGGUGUGAAAUCCCCGGGCUUAACCUGGGAAUUGCAUUCAAGACUGUCUUGCUAGAGUGUGGAAGAGGGAAGCGGAAUUCCAGGUGUAGCGGUGAAAUGCGUAGAUAUCUGGAGGAACAUCAGUGGCGAAGGCGGCUUCCUGGUCCAACACUGACACUGAGGUGCGAAAGCGUGGGAGGCAAACAGG